GACGAACGCUGGCGGCGUGCUUAACACAUGCAAGUCGAACGGGAUUUAGUAGACAGAAGCCUCGGCUAGAGAUUACUAAUGAGAGUGGCGAACGGGUGAGUAACGCGUGAGCAACCUGCCUAUGACAGUGGGAUAGCCUCGGGAAACCGGGAUUAAAACCGCAUAAAAUCGUAGAAACACAUGUUUUAACGGUCAAAGAUUUAUCGGUCAUAGAUGGGCUCGCGUCUGAUUAGCUAGUUGGUGAGAUAACAGCCCACCAAGGCGACGAUCAGUAGCCGGUCUGAGAGGAUGAACGGCCACAUUGGAACUGAGACACGGUCCAAACUCCUACGGGAGGCAGCAGUGGGGAAUAUUGCACAAUGGGGGAAACCCUGAUGCAGCGACGCCGCGUGAACGAAGAAGGUAUUCGUAUCGUAAAGUUCUGUCCUAUGGGAAGAUAAUGACAGUACCAUAGAAGAAAGCUCCGGCUAAAUACGUG
rnacentral:rRNA from 1 species